GUUGGACAUCAGUUGUUUUUUUGUUGUUGUUUUGGCUUUCCUGAGAUUGGACCAGACAUGGGAGCCUUAGGGCAUCCAGCAGAGGUCCCCCACAGCUUGCUGCUGUCAGCGCAGCCAGUGCCUGGAGAGGGGGAGGUGGAGCUGGGGAACCUUCCUGCAGCAUCUGCACGAAAUCAGGAACAGCACUUGAGGACCACUGCUGAUGGCAGGUAUGACAAUGUGCAAGGAGGGGAUGUGUUGUGUGCCCAGAGAGCUAACGGGACCUAAUGUGACAUUAAUGGCCUUGGAGCAAUUUUUCUGAAGAGUGGACUCCUACAGAACCAAUAAGAGAUCAACUGUACCUGAAUGAGCUUUACUCACCAAAUGACCUUGAGAAAUGAUUGCAAGUAGAGCAUAUUUGCAAAUCAGUUCUGCCAUAGGAAUAAAACUCUGAACUUCACUCGUCA
rnacentral:lncRNA from 1 species